GCCUGGGUGGCUCAGUUGGUUAAGCGGCUGACUUCGGCUCAGGUCAUGAUCUCACGGUCCGUGAGUUCGAGUCCCACGUUGGGCU
rnacentral:tRNA from 1 species